rnacentral:rRNA from 1 species
CAAGAGCAUAUAUUAAAGUUGUUGCAGUUAAAAGCUCGUAGUUGGAUUUCUGGUAUAAUGCGCCUGGCCCGCGGCUAUUUAAGCCUGUGAGUGCCGGUGUGCGUUUGCCAUCCUUCUAGAAAACGUUUCUACCCUUCACUGGGCCGGACUCGCGAUCUAGAUCUUUACUUGAAAAAUUAGAGUGUUUAAAGCAGGCUUUUGCUAUGAAUACAUUAGCAUGGAAUAAUAAUCUAGGAUUUCGGUUCUAUUUUGUUGGUUUCUAGUACUGAAGUAAUGAUUGAUAGGGAUAGUUGGGGUGCUAGUAUUGGCCGGCCAGAGGUGAAAUUCUUGGAUUCGGUCAAGACUAACUUAUGCGAAAGCAUUCACCAAGGAUGUCUUCUUUAAUCAAGAACGAAAGUUGGGGAUGCGAAGACGAUCAGAUACCA